rnacentral:rRNA from 1 species
AUUGAACGCUGGCGGCAUGCCUUACACAUGCAAGUCGAACGGUAACAGGUCUUCGGAUGCUGACGAGUGGCGAACGGGUGAGUAAUACAUCGGAACGUGCCCGAUCGUGGGGGAUAACGGAGCGAAAGCUUUGCUAAUACCGCAUACGAUCUACGGAUGAAAGCAGGGGACCGCAAGGCCUUGCGCGGACGGAGCGGCCGAUGGCAGAUUAGGUAGUUGGUGGGAUAAAAGCUUACCAAGCCGACGAUCUGUAGCUGGUCUGAGAGGACGACCAGCCACACUGGGACUGAGAAACGGCCCAGACUCCUACGGGAGGCAGCAGUGGGGAAUUUUGGACAAUGGGCGCAAGCCUGAUCCAGCCAUGCCGCGUGCAGGAUGAAGGCCUUCGGGUUGUAAACUGCUCUUGUACGGAACGAAAAGACACUGGUUAAUACCUGGGGUCCAUGACGGUACCGUAAGGAUAAGCACCGGCUAACUACGUGCCAGCAGCCGCAGUAAUAC